AUCUGGGCCGGUGGCCCUCUCCUCUCUCUCCACUCCUUGUGCUUCAGUCCUACCGCUCUCGCCCUGGUCCUCCAAAAUGCUAAGCUGGUUACUGCCCCAGGGCCUUUGCGCUGCUUUCUCCUCAGCUUGGACUGCCUGGGCCCCAAGCUGAGCAGUGGCUCCCUCCCGAUGCUCAGGCUCAGUCCAGAUGCUGCCUCCUUAGGGCGGCGCUCCCCGCCUUCUCCCGGUCGCUGCGGAGCCUGCCCAUGCCAGCCAGCUGUGCUCCAUCCUGCCCUCUGGUCUAGUUGCCUUGGUGACACUUACCAGGCUUUAUUACCUACUGACUUGUUUACCUGGUUAUCAUCUCCUCUCUCAGCAGAAUGUAAGCUCAGCCAGGCCAGGGGUAGGUCCGUUGUGGCCACCACUGAGUCCCCAGGGCCUGAAACAGUCCAGAGUAGGCCCCACCUCCACCUACAGCAGAGGGGUGGUCUCUAAGGGUCUCAGCACCUGCGUGGUAUAGGUGAGAGGCUCACCCCACAUCUAGACUUGGUCUCUGGCUGGCUGCCAGACGGGCUGUGGUGCUGCCACCAUGCUCUGCAAGCUGCUGGGAACGCCUGACCCCACCCCCUCUGUGCCUGCAUCCGGGUCCCUGCCAAGGACGGGAGGGAGAGGCCCAGUGGCCAGGGGGCCAGGAAUUAGCGUAGUGGGGGGCCAAGAACCUGUCACAGGGAGGUGGCAGGAGACAGGGCUGCACGUGAGUUGAAGCUUCAAGCCUCCGGCACAUGCUCCAUUGUUCCAGACCUUACUUCCAAAAUAAACUCAAAGAUGAAAUGAUUGUGGAUUUCAAGACAGCCACUGCAGAGCAUUAAACCUCACGCACGGGGUCAUCUGAACACGGGGCCCUGUGUGACUGCAGUGGCCUUGGCUGGUGGCCGUCUUGUUCAUGCCACAGAGAAAACCUAAGAAGAGGCCGAGGAGAGACAGGAAGUGCCAGGAGACAGCAAACAAGCCCUGAUGACAUCAUGUGAGCCUCUGGAUCCAGCUACGCCUGAGCUAAAACCGCCAUGGACUUCCCAGUUUCUGAGCCAAGAAAUAAAUCCCCCCUUUGCUUGA